GAGCGGCAGCACGGGUACUUGUACCUGGUGGCGAGCGGCGGACGGGUGAGUAAUGCCUAGGAAUCUGCCUGGUAGUGGGGGAUAACGCUCGGAAACGGACGCUAAUACCGCAUACGUCCUACGGGAGAAAGCAGGGGACCUUCGGGCCUUGCGCUAUCAGAUGAGCCUAGGUCGGAUUAGCUAGUUGGUGAGGUAAUGGCUCACCAAGGCGACGAUCCGUAACUGGUCUGAGAGGAUGAUCAGUCACACUGGAACUGAGACACGGUCCAGACUCCUACGGGAGGCAGCAGUGGGGAAUAUUGGACAAUGGGCGAAAGCCUGAUCCAGCCAUGCCGCGUGUGUGAAGAAGGUCUUCGGAUUGUAAAGCACUUUAAGUUGGGAGGAAGGGCAGUUACCUAAUACGUAUCUGUUUUGACGUUACCGACAGAAUAAGCAC
rnacentral:rRNA from 1 species